CACGGCCCGCUGGCAAUGAAAAUUCCAUUUAACUCAAUUUCACCAGUCCUAUACUAGAUAUAAGCCGGACUAAUGCCAAAUGUGUCCCCAAGUAAUGCAAAGGUAACCAAUUGACACCUUUUCGUCCCCAAGUAAUGCAAAGAAGCGACAAUUGUGCAUAAAUAAAAACCACCUCGAAAAAACCAAACGAACAUUUGAAUGAGAUCUCUACGAACAAGAACCACUUUGAAUAGUUUUUUUUUAGAUUACCAAUAAAAAAACAAUGCACCGUUAUUCUUGAGGAAUGCAAGUGCGUUUUGUUUGGAAAAAGCAUUCUUAUUCUGAUCGUUGUGAAGUGAAGUAUCAUUUUUCUGUGCAAAUAAGUUAUAAAGUGUUGAAAAUAACAAAUAAAAAGGUCAAAUCAAAAUUUUAGCUGAUGAUUAAGCUGAGUUAAAGGUGAUGGUGCUACGAUCUCAAAGUGAUGAGAUACCAUUAUCGAAUAGGUUCCCCAUCACUUAUGAAAAAUAUUGAGAAUCAAUACAUAUAUGUAAAGAUUAUAGCAUGAAUUAUAAAAGGAGAAGAAAUAUCGAAAUGUUUAAAAAUGUUAUCGGUUCAAAUAUUACUACGUGUAUAAUAUUGAGGGAAACCAUGGAAAAAAGUUUGAAGUCCCUAAGUAAUAUAUAUAGAGUUAUUUUAGAUUCAAUACCAGUUACAGAAUAUUCGGACACCCCUGAAACACAACUGCGAAAAGCAAUACAAGUGCUUUUAUAAAUAUUAAAUUUAAUUUAUUUUUGUUUAAGUUUUAUAGAGUAAGGUAUAUUUGUAUUCAUUUGUUUGCAAUAAAAAAAUGAAUUAAAACUAAAAAUUAGAAUUUCACUAACAAUAAUUGGUACUGAACUAGUUCAUGGGAAACCAGUUUAAAAUUGGUCUGCUUAUACUAGAUAAGGGAUAGUCAAAUGACACUAGUACAUAACUGUAUACAUAGAACUAGUUAAAAGGUAGUCUGCUGACACUAGUCUGUGGCUGUGUACUUGGAACUUGGUAAGGGUUAGUCUUUUGUCACUGGUAUAUGACUGUAAACCUGGAACUAGUAAAGUACCAUCUACAGGUAAUGCAAAGGGAGCCAAUUGGUUACUUCGUAUGACAUCCCCAUGUUAAAGUUUACAGUUGUUUGCACUGUGAGGGGUCUUAAGUGGAACUAGUUACUGUAACUCUGAGAAUCGACGGGUUUCCGAUGCCGAACUAGUUCAUGUUGCU